CAGCAGCGUAUAUUUAUAUUGCUGCGUUUAAAAAGCUCGUAGUUGAAGCGUCAGACGCGGGAGGACGGACGGCCGCACUGGUCGCUUCUCGUCCGACCGAGCCAGGCGCAGAGGGCGUCCGUCGGUUGCACUUUACCGUGUGAUCGCGGCGUCGCUGCACGUUCACCUUGAAGAAAUUGAACCGCUUAGAGGGGGCGAGCAGCUUGUACAGCUCAGCAUGGUAUGAUGGAACAUGGGCUCGUACUCAUUUUGUUGGUUUUAGAGUUCGCGAGCCAAUGAUUAACAGGGACUGCCGGGGGCAUUCGUACUCGAGCGGGAGAGGUGAAAUUCAAGGAUCGCUCGAAGACGUCCCACUGCGAAAGCAUUUGCCAAGAAUGUUUUCAUUAAUCAAGAACGAAAGUCAGAGGUGCGAAGACGAUCAGAUACCGU
rnacentral:rRNA from 1 species